GAUGAACGCUAGCGGCAGGCCUAACACAUGCAAGUCGAGGGGUAGAACACUUCGGUGUUUGAGACCGGCGCACGGGUGCGUAACGCGUAUGCAAUCUACCUUAUACAGGGGAAUAGCCCAGAGAAAUUUGGAUUAAUGCCCCAUAGCAUUACGACUUGGCAUCAAGAUGUAAUUAAAGUUCCAACGGGAUAAGAUGAGCAUGCGUCCCAGCAGUUAGUGGGUAAGGUAACGGCUUACCAAGACGAUGAUGGGUAGGGGUCCUGAGAGGGCGAUCCCCCUCACGGGUCCUGAGACCCGUACCACACUCCUACGGGAGGCAGCAGUGAGGCAUAUUGUUCAAUGUUCGAAAGACUAAACCAGCCAUGCUGCAUGCAGAAACACGAUCCUAUGGAUUGUAAACUGCUUUUAUACAGGAAGAAACCCUCCCACGUGUGGGAGCUUGACGGUACUGUAGGAACAAGGAUCGGCUAACUCCGUGCCAGCAGCCGCGGUAA
rnacentral:rRNA from 1 species